AACAAACGCUGGCGGCGUGCCUAAUACAUGCAAGUCGAACGGGGUAGCAAUACCUAGUGGCGCACGGGUGAGGAACGCGUGGAUAAUCUGCCUUAGAGUGGGGGAUAACUAGUCGAAAGAUUAGCUAAUACCGCAUAAGACCACAGGAGCUGCGGCUCUAGGGGUCAAAGGUUUUUCGCUCUAAGAUGAGUCCGCGUAAGAUUAGCUAGUUGGUGAGGUAACGGCUCACCAAGGCGACGAUCUUUAACUGGUCUGAGAGGAUGAUCAGUCACACUGGAACUGAGACACGGUCCAGACUCCUACGGGAGGCAGCAGUAGGGAAUAUUGCACAAUGGAGGAAACUCUGAUGCAGCGACGCCGCGUGAGUGAUGAGGGCCUUCGGGUCGUAAAGCUCUGUCGCAGGGGAAUAACACAAUGAAUGUACCCUAUAAGAAAGGAUCGGCUAACUUCGUGCCAGCCGCCGCCGUAAGAC
rnacentral:rRNA from 1 species